rnacentral:lncRNA from 1 species
AUCUUGAAAACAGUGAGAAAGAAGUGACUCAUUACAUAAAAGAGUUCCUGAAUAAGAGUAAAGCCAUUUUCUCAUCAGAAACCACAGAAGCCAGAAGUCAGUAGGUUGACACAUUCAAAGUGAUGAAAGAAGAAUACCGUCAAACUUAAAUUCUUUAUUUUAAACUAUUUUUUAUUGGUGCAUUAUAGUUGUACAUAUGGUGGGAUUUGUGUCAGAUGUCACAUGUGCACACAAUACAGCAACAUAGUCUGGCCCAUACUAUUCCCCAGUGUCUCCUCUUUCACUCCCCUCCUCCCUCCCCUGCUCCCUUUGCUCUACUCUUCUGAUCUCCCUUUGAUUUUCAUGAGAUUCCCCCAACUCCUUUCUUUCCCCUUUCCUCUCUAGCUUCCACACAGAAAGAAAGCAUGCAAAGCUUGACCUUCCGAGUUUGGCUUAUUUCACUUAACGUAAGUUUCACCCAUUUUUCCUGCAAAUGACUUGUGUAAUUUUUCUUUAUGGCUGAAUAAAACUCCAUUGUGUAUACACAUACACCACAUUUUCUUUGUCUAUUCAUCUGUUGGUGGACACCUUGGCUGGUUCCAAAGUUUGGCUAUUGUGAAUUGUGCUGCUAUAAACAUGGGUAUGUAUAUAUACUGUAAUAAGAUGACUUUAAUUCUUUAGGAUAAAUACUGAGGAGUGGUACAGCUAUGUCAAAUGGUAGUUCCAUUCCCAGUCUUUUGAGGAAACUCCAUACUGAUUUACAUUGUUCAGCCUUAAAUUCUUUAAUCUGGAAAAACUGUUCUUCACAAAUGAGGAAGAAAUUAGGACAUUCCCAGAUAAACAAAACAAAGAAUUCAUUGCUUGCAGAAAUGGUAUACAAG